UAUAUCAUCGAAAUAAGCGAAAACGUAUAAAUUAAUAAAUUAUUUUAUGUUCUAUAAGUAUAGUUAUAUUUUAUAUUUUUCAGAUUUCCAAAAAAUCAUGAUUUAAGACAAAAAUGGCUAAACAGCAUUAACAGGCCUGAUUUCCAUCACGAUACAGCUGCAUAUAUUGUAGUGAUCAUUUUAAGAAGGAUCACAUUAAUUUUACAUUACGCCUUCUGCGCCUCAAAGACAAUGCCUGCCCAUCUAUCCCGAAUUUAUCACCUGAGCAACAAGUAAGACAACCCUUGCAAGAAGUGAAUUUUAAUCUGUUAUCAGAGAGUCAUGACAAUGCUGUUUCCCAAAAUGGAAUACAAGAUAUAAUGGUUGCAUCUACUUAUCAGUCAGUCAGUACACCAAACGUACAAAUAGUAACGGCUGGUUCAAUUAAGGACGUUUUGGCUCGUAUUGUCAAAAACAUAUUUAAAAACUAAAUUUUUCUUGUAAUAACGUCUCAAAAACAUGUG
rnacentral:lncRNA from 1 species